rnacentral:rRNA from 1 species
AGUCGAGCGGGGUGAUGUAGCUUGCUACAUUACCUAGCGGCGGACGGGUGAGUAAUGCUUAGGAAUCUGCCUAUUAGUGGGGGACAACAUUCCGAAAGGAAUGCUAAUACCGCAUACGCCCUACGGGGGAAAGCAGGGGAUCUUCGGACCUUGCGCUAAUAGAUGAGCCUAAGUCGGAUUAGCUAGUUGGUGGGGUAAAGGCCUACCAAGGCGACGAUCUGUAGCGGGUCUGAGAGGAUGAUCCGCCACACUGGGACUGAGACACGGCCCAGACUCCUACGGGAGGCAGCAGUGGGGAAUAUUGGACAAUGGGGGGAACCCUGAUCCAGCCAUGCCGCGUGUGUGAAGAAGGCCUUUUGGUUGUAAAGCACUUUAAGCGAGGAGGAGGAGCUCUAGACUAAUACUCUAGAUGCUUGGACGUUACUCGCAGAAUAAGCACCGGCUAACUCUGUGCCAGCAGCCGCGGUAAUACAGAGGGUGCAAGCGUUAAUCGGAUUUACUGGGCGUAAAGCGUGCGUAGGUGGUCUUUUAAGUCGGAUGUGAAAUCCCUGAGCUUAACUUAGGAAUUGCAUUCGAUACUGGGAGACUAGAGUAUGGGAGAGGAUGGUAGAAUUCCAGGUGUAGCGGUGAAAUGCGUAGAGAUCUGGAGGAAUACCGAUGGCGAAGGCAGCCAUCUGGCCUAAUACUGACACUGAGGUACGAAAGCAUGGGGAGCAAACAGGAUUAGAUACCCUGGUAGUCCAUGCCGUAAACGAUGUCUACUAGCCGUUGGGGCCUUUGAGGCUUUAGUGGCGCAGCUAACGCGAUAAGUAGACCGCCUGGGGAGUACGGUCGCAAGACUAAAACUCAAAUGAAUUGACGGGGGCCCGCACAAGCGGUGGAGCAUGUGGUUUAAUUCGAUGCAACGCGAAGAANCCUUACCNGGNCUUGACAUAGUAAGAACUUUNCAGAGAUGGAUUGGUGCC